UCUAGUAAUACUAGGGAGUAUUUUCUACAUUAUCUUCUUAUAAUUGUUCUUGAAUGAAUGGCGAAGGAGUUAGGACGGCUAUUAAUUCUACUGAAGAACUAUUUCUUGCAUUUCACUUUAUGGACACUCGCUAUAUUUUUAAGUUCUAGAUGGACGUUUUUCUUUCUUAUAGAUGGGCGCGAUUUUAUGACCAUUGAUGUUGUAGUGUAUUACACAUAAAUACAUUAUUAUUUAUUGUUCUUCAUUUAAUAGUGAAUGAGCUAAGCGUUAACUUAAUUUUACUGAUAUACUUUCAGGUAGUAUGAAUGAAUUGAACGUUCGAGAGCCACUGUUCAAUAAGUACAUAUUCGACGAAUUGGAACAUGGGAAACAUUGUAACGAGCUCAAUACUGAGAAGCUUAUUACGUUUUACAGUUUUACAUAAUAUACAGCAACUAAAAUGAAUUGGUUUUGCAGUUAUUGCAGGCGAUAUGUUGACAAUCAUGAGCGUUUUCGAGUUGCCUCCCAGACUGGAUUGUAACAGAUACGUGAGCUUAGAAUUCCUGUAAAUAAUGUACUAAUAUUAGAUUAAAUUAAUAAAAUAAUAAACUUAUA